GAGACUCUGUGCGCGUGCAUAUCAAUAAGCGGAGGAAAAGAAACUAACAAGGAUUCCCUUAGUAACGGCGAGUGAAGCGGGAAGAGCUCAAAUUUGAAAUCUUCAAGGUUUUACCUUGACGAAUUGUAGUUUAAAGAAGUGUUUUCUGUUGGAGUUUUGGUAAAAGUUCUUUGGAAUAGGACAUCAUAGAGGGUGAGAAUCCCGUAUUUGACCGUUACUUUCCAGCUGUGUGAUACACUUUCAAAGAGUCGGAUUGUUUGGGAAUGCAGUCCAAAAUGGGUGGUAAAUUUCAUCUAAAGCUAAAUAUUGGCGAGAGACCGAUAGCGAACAAGUACCGUGAGGGAAAGAUGAAAAGAACCUUGAAAAGAGAGUUAAACAGUACGUGAAAUUGUCAAAAGGGAAGUGUUUGACACCAGUGUUGUUUUCUCGAAAAUCAAUUAAAAAUGAUGGGAUUUUGUGUUGUAUUGACUUUAUCAGCUUUCUGCACUUUUUUCUUAUCUUUUUUAAUGCACUUUUCGUUUAACAAGUCAACAUCAAUUUCUUUUGUUGUAAAAGAGGUCAUUGGAAGGUGGCUUUUCACUUCGGUGAAAAGUGUUUAUAGCCUUUGGCUUCUACAAUCGGAGAGAUUGAGGUACAUGCAGCGUAGACUCCUUCGGGGUUAGAUACAUUUGUGCUAAGCUAUAGCCUUGUAUAGACAACUUGUUGACUAUGCUCAGUCAUGUAGCUUACUCGCUUAUGCUAUUUUACCUACGCUUAGGAUGUUGAAGUCAUCGUAUCGCGC
rnacentral:rRNA from 1 species